rnacentral:rRNA from 1 species
GACGAACGCUGGCGGCGUGCUUAACACAUGCAAGUCGAACGGAAAGGCCCUGCUUUUGUGGGGUUCUCGAGUGGCGAACGGGUGAGUAACACGUGAGUAACCUGCCCUUGACUUUGGGAUAACUUCAGGAAACUGAGGCUAAUACAGGACAGGAGCUCCUUCUGCAUGGUGGGGGCUGGAAAGUUUCGGCGUUUGGGGAUGAACUCGGGGCUUAUCAGCUUGUUGGUUGGGUAGUGGCGUACCAAGGCUUUGACUAGUAGACGACCUGAGAGGGUGAUAGGCCACACUGGGACUGAACCACGGCCCAGACUCCUACGGGAGGCAGCAGAAGGGAACGGUACGCAAUGGACGAAAGUCUGACGGAGCAAUGCGGAGUGAGUGAAGAAGGUUUUCGGAUCGGAAAACUCUCUUGUAAGGGAAGAACAAGUACGGUAGUAACUGAAGGUAGCGUGACGGUAAUGGAUCAGAAAGCAACGGCUAACUACGUG